rnacentral:rRNA from 1 species
UACGUAGGGUGCGAGCGUUAAUCGGAAUUACUGGGCGUAAAGCGUGCGCAGGCGGUUUUGUAAGACAGGCGUGAAAUCCCCGAGCUUAACUUGGGAAUGGCGCUUGUGACUGCAAGGCUAGAGUAUGUCAGAGGGGGGUAGAAUUCCACGUGUAGCAGUGAAAUGCGUAGAGAUGUGGAGGAAUACCGAUGGCGAAGGCGGCAUCCUGGACCGACAUUGACGCUGAACGGCGAAAGCUAGGGGAGCAAACGGG